AACGAACGCUGGCGGCAUGCCUAACACAUGCAAGUCGAACGAGACCUUCGGGUCUAGUGGCGCACGGGUGCGUAACGCGUGGGAACCUGCCCUUAGGUUCGGAAUAACUCCCCGAAAGGGGUGCUAAUACCGGAUAAUGUCUUCGGACCAAAGAUUUAUCGCCUUUGGAUGGGCCCGCGUUGGAUUAGCUAGUUGGUAGGGUAAAAGCCUACCAAGGCGACGAUCCAUAGCUGGUCUGAGAGGAUGAUCAGCCACACUGGGACUGAGACACGGCCCAGACUCCUACGGGAGGCAGCAGUGGGGAAUAUUGGACAAUGGGCGAAGGCCUGAUCCAGCAAUGCCGCGUGAGUGAUGAAGGCCUUAGGGUUGUAAAGCUCUUUUACCCGGGAUGGUAAUGACAGUACCGGGAGAAUAAGCUCCGGCUAACUCCGUG
rnacentral:rRNA from 1 species